rnacentral:rRNA from 1 species
GACGUAGGGCGCGAGCGUUGUCCGGAAUUAUUGGGCGUAAAGAGCUCGUAGGCGGUCAGUCGCGUCUGCUGUGAAAACUCGGGGCUUAACUCCGGGCCUGCAGUGGGUACGGGCUGACUAGAGUGCGGUAGGGGAGACUGGAAUUCCUGGUGUAGCGGUGAAAUGCGCAGAUAUCAGGAGGAACACCGGUGGCGAAGGCGGGUCUCUGGGCCGUAACUGACGCUGAGGAGCGAAAGCGUGGGGAGCGAACAGG